rnacentral:lncRNA from 1 species
GAAAAUAUUAGAUAAAUGAAAUGAGAUUUUCCUUAUUAUCAUAAUAACAACAAUCCUGCUUUACAUGCUCCUAGGUUAACUACCUACAACCGUUAGUCAACAGCGUUCGUGCACGAGACUGCAUUCAUAACAAAUCUAAGCUUGAAUAGGAUAAUGUUGUUACUCUUCCACUCCCUGUCACUCUCAAUGCUUUAGCUUUCUGGGCUCAGAGUUACACCACGCAAUAGGAUGAUUUCUUUCCGAAUUUGUUAAGGACAUGUCAAGCUGUCGACAGCAGCGCGCCAAGGUGAUAACGUUGUGAUACCUCCAUAGCGCCUCUCCCUGUCACCACUUGCGGGCUGUCGUUGCCGGCUGUCGUUACAAAGCUUUCUGACCCGAACCGCCUUUGAAGCUUCCGCUAAAUCUUUAAAUGCCCAAGGUUCCGUAUUGAACUUUAUACAACCCUCCGUUGGCUCGUGGCUUCCGGCGCGUCAGCCAAUGAACGCCGUGAACAGCCAAUGAAAGCCGUGCAUAGCCAAUGGCCCGCCCAAGGCUCGCCCGUUUUGUAGCUUGGGCUAUGCGACGGCUAUGCCAACAAGGCGCAGCACAUUGCCUACUGAGGGCUCAUGCCUACCCCUUCCGCGAUUACUGGACAAGCACGCAAGGCCAUUGCCCUUAAGGCAUCUUCGCUCUGGUACCUACGUUUUUAAUUAUUGGCGGUGGACUUUGAAAUUCCUUAGUUUUCAUGGGCUACGGUACUUGGGUCACAACAUUUCGGACUAGGGUGACUGCAUUUUGUUUGAACCCAUCUACCACCCCAUCUACCAAGCCUAUAUGUGUGCGAUAGCACUCAUCACGCUGCUUGUCAGCACUUAUACGAAAAGGUACUGCACAUUGAAAUUUGCUAACUGCAUGGGGGUUGGGUGGUUUUCGGCAAGACCCAAGCCCAUAACACCCUGUAAGCAAGGAACAUGAAGAGGCCAAACGGCAUUUUUGGCGGCAACACUUAAAUGUUGGACCUUUCUUAACAGCUUGGGUGUAGGGCCCCCGGCUGAUUUGCGCGGGGAUGAUUGGUGGCGCAUUACGCUACUCUCAAGCUGCCUGUGGGAAAACCCUGAGAGGGAUUUUGCGACAAGGCUGGAUGCACGUUGGACGUGCGAGAACACCUAUAGGGUGGUGAACCCAGGGCCUUCCCCACCACCGGGGCCUUACCAGCGAGUGUGGCAAGCCCUGCUGCUGCUGGUGACCCGACGGGUCCAUAACGAUGACCCACAUGCAUAAGUGGUGUUCGAGGUGACUGCUGCUGCUGCUGCUGCUGCUGCUGCUGGUAUAGCUGCUGGUGUUGGUGCUG